rnacentral:pre_miRNA from 1 species
UGAGCACAGCUAAACAUAUAAUUUUUUUUUUACAAGUUCUUAUGUGUGUUAGCUGGGCUCAUGA